CAUUCAGUGCUACUUUGGCUUUUUUUUAUUAUUUAUAUACCUGUUAAUACACCCUCCUUGUUCUCAAUAUGGCCCUGAACACUGUGAGCCCUAGAUGUAACUUAUAUUCUCAAAUACUUAUGUGGCUUGGCAUUCAUACAGAAUCUGUCUGAAUUGGUAAAAAUACUCAGAUUAUUUGUUCAAAAAUAGCCAGUGCACUCUGGAAGGCCGAGGACGGCAGAUCACCUGAGGUCAGGAGUUUGAGAUCAGCCUGGCCAACAUGGUGAAACCCUGUCUCUCUUAAAAAUAUGAAAAUUAGCCCAGUAUGGUGGCAUGCUCCUUUGGUCCCAGGUAUCCCAGGUACUCGGGAGGCUGAGGCAGGAGAAUUGCUUGAACCCAGGAGGCAGAGGCUGCAGUGAGCCGAGAUCAUGC
rnacentral:lncRNA from 1 species